AGGGAAAGUAAGGCAACUGCUUUAAAUUUUUUUAAAGAGGAAAGUCUGGACUUCAUAGAAGAGGAUACCAGUUAACGGCUGGGAGUUUUUUAAAAAACUACGGAAAGUGCAACAGAAAAUAUACCUAAAGAUUUUUUAAUCUUUUAAGGAUGAAAAUAAUAGUUUAAAAAAACUAUUAUCUUUUGAAGAGAUUCAAAGUGAUGCAAACCCUAUCCGAAGCAAGACUGAAAAGGCUUACGUGAUCUUCUACAUAACAAGCUUAAGCUAGUCGCUUGAGAUAUUUGAUAACAAAUAUCCUAGACAAAUGGUUGCCCAAAUAUUUAAAAAUAUUUGACAGAAUCCGGCUUACCUACUUUCCCUUUUU
rnacentral:RNase_P_RNA from 2 species